rnacentral:rRNA from 1 species
UACGUAGGGGGCAAGCGUUGUCCGGAAUUAUUGGGCGUAAAGAGCGCGUAGGCGGUCCGGUAAGUCGGUUGUGAAAGUCGGGGGCUCAACCCUCGGAUGCCGAUCGAUACUGUCGGGCUAGAGUCCGGAAGAGGCGAGUGGAAAUUCCUGGUGUAGCGGUGAAAUGCGCAGGAUAUCAGGAGGAACACCAAUUGCGAAGGCAGCUCGCUGGGACGUUACUGACGCUGAGACGCGAAAGCGUGGGGAGCAACAGG